CAGGUGGUCAAACCUGUCCCCGCACCUGGAGGUCUGCAUGUGGGGUGGCCACUGGAGGAGGGGGUCUCAGAGGUCAGAGGAGCUGAAGGGUCUGGACAAAUGAGCUCUGGAGUCGCAGGAACUUGGUUUCCUAAAAUGGAAAGGAAGUUUGGGGGAGUUUGGCAGCAUUGAUGGUUCCAGCACAUGAAGACUCAAGCCAUUUGCAGCUGGUGUUGAAACUAGAAAAUGCCAAAAGCUUUAUCUCCUGAAGAAUUGAGGAGAUUCUUGUAAAGGUGAAACUUUUCAUCUUUGGG